rnacentral:rRNA from 1 species
UACGAAGGGGGCUAGCGUUGCUCGGAAUUACUGGGCGUAAAGCGCACGUAGGCGGCUUGUUAAGUCAGGGGUGAAAUCCUGGAGCUCAACUCCAGAACUGCCUUUGAUACUGGCGAGCUUGAGUUCGGGAGAGGUGAGUGGAACUGCGAGUGUAGAGGUGAAAUUCGUAGAUAUUCGGAAGAACACCAGUGGCGAAGGCGGCUCACUGGCCCGGUACUGACGCUGAGAUACGAAAGCGUGGGGAGCAAACAGG